UACGUAGGGGGCUAGCGUUGUCCGGAAUCAUUGGGCGUAAAGCGCGUGUAGGCGGUCCGGUAAGUCCGCUGUGAAAGUCGGGGGCUCAACCCUCGGAUGCCGGUGGAUACUGUCGGGCUUGAGUACGGAAGAGGCGAGUGGAAUUCCUGGUGUAGCGGUGAAAUGCGCAGAUAUCAAGGAGGAACACCAAUUGCGAAGGCAGCUCGCUGGGACGUUACUGACGCUGGAGACGCGAAAGCGUGGGGAGCAAACAGG
rnacentral:rRNA from 1 species